UACGGAGGGGGCUAGCGUUGUUCGGAAUUACUGGGCGUAAAGGGCGCGUAGGCGGACAGUUUAGUCAGAGGUGAAAGCCCAGGGCUCAACCCUGGAAUUGCCUUUGAUACUGGCUGUCUUGAGUACGGGAGAGGUGUGUGGAACUCCGAGUGUAGAGGUGAAAUUCGUAGAUAUUCGGAAGAACACCAGUGGCGAAGGCGACACACUGGCCCGUUACUGACGCUGAGGCGCGAAAGCGUGGGGAGCAAACAGG
rnacentral:rRNA from 1 species